CCUACGGGGGGCAGCAGUGGGGGAUAUUGGACAAUGGGGGAAACCCUGAUCCAGCGACGCCGCGUGAGUGAAGAAGUUUUUCGGUAUGUAAAGCUCUAUCAGCAGGGAAGAAAGCAAUGACGGUUCCUGAGUCAUAAGCGCCGGCUAACUACGUGCCAGCAGCCGCGGUAAUACGUAGGGGGCAAGCGUUAUCCGGAAUUACUGGGUGUAAAGGGAGCGUAGGGGGUAAUGCAAGUCUGGAGGGAAAGCCGGGGGCCCACCCCCCGGACUGCCCUGGAAACUGUGGAACUGGAGUGCAGGAGAGGCAGGCGGAAUUCCUAGUGUAGCGGUGAAAUGCGUAGAUAUUAGGAGGAACACCAGUGGCGAAGGCGGCCUGCUGGACUGUAACUGACGUUGAGGCUCGAAAGCGUGGGGAGCAAACAGGAGUAGAUACCCCUGUAGUC
rnacentral:rRNA from 1 species